GUGAUAAAUCGAGGUGUCUCAUGAACGUCUUACCCUCUACCAUCCACAUACACCUGCACUGUUAGACUGAGGGUACCGGUCCAGGUUCUAUUUAUACAAACUCUAGUCUAUGAAUGUAACGUAUAUAUCAUUAACAUAAUA
rnacentral:misc_RNA from 1 species